rnacentral:rRNA from 1 species
UACGAAGGGUGCAAGCGUUACUCGGAAUUACUGGGCGUAAAGCGUGCGUAGGCGGUUUGUUAAGUCUGCUGUGAAAGCCCCGGGCUCAACCUGGGAACGGCAGUGGAUACUGGCAAGCUAGAGUGUGUCAGAGGAUGGUGGAAUUCCCGGUGUAUCGGUGAAAUGCGUAGAGAUCGGGAUGAACAUCAGUGGCGAAGGCGGCCAUCUGGGACAAAACUGACGCUUAGGCACGAAAGCGUGGGGAGCAAACAGG